UACGUAGGGUGCAAGCGUUAAUCGGAAUUACUGGGCGUAAAGCGUGCGCAGGCGGUUUUGUAAGUCUGUCGUGAAAUCCCCGGGCUCAACCUGGGAAUUGCGAUGGAGACUGCAAGGCUAGAAUCUGGCAGAGGGGGGUAGAAUUCCACGUGUAGCAGUGAAAUGCGUAGAGAUGUGGAGGAACACCGAUGGCGAAGGCAGCCCCCUGGGUCAAGAUUGACGCUCAUGCACAGAAG
rnacentral:rRNA from 1 species